rnacentral:rRNA from 1 species
AUACGUAGGUCCCGAGCGUUGUCCGGAUUUAUUGGGCGUAAAGCGAGCGCAGGCGGUUAGAUAAGUCUGAAGUUAAAGGCUGUGGCUUAACCAUAGUACGCUUUGGAAACUGUUUAACUUGAGUGCAAGAGGGGAGAGUGGAAUUCCAUGUGUAGCGGUGAAAUGCGUAGAUAUAUGGAGGAACACCGGUGGCGAAAGCGGCUCUCUGGCUUGUAACUGACGCUGAGGCUCGAAAGCGUGGGGAGCAAACAG